CCUACGGGAGGCAGCAGUGGGGAAUAUUGCGCAAUGGGCGAAAGCCUGACGCAGCGACGCCGCGUGAGGGAUGAAGGCCUUCGGGUUGUAAACCUCUUUCAGCAGGGACGAAGCGAAAGUGACGGUACCUGCAGAAGAAGCACCGGCCAACUACGUGCCAGCAGCCGCGGUAAUACGUAGGGUGCAAGCGUUGUCCGGAAUUAUUGGGCGUAAAGAGCUCGUAGGCGGUUUGUCGCGUCGGCUGUGAAAACUCGGGGCUCAACCCCGAGCCUGCAGUCGAUACGGGCAAACUAGAGUGUGGUAGGGGAGACUGGAAUUCCUGGUGUAGCGGUGAAAUGCGCAGAUAUCAGGAGGAACACCGGCGGCGAAGGCGGGUCUCUGGGCCAUAACUGACGCUGAGGAGCGAAAGCGUGGGGAGCGAACAGGAUUAGAUACCCUGGUAGUCCACGCCGUAAACGUUGGGCGCUAGGUGUCGGGGACCUUCCACGUCUUCGGUGCCGCAGCUACGCAUAGCGCCCGCCGUCGGGAGGUACGGCCGCGACGGACGUAAACCUACAAGGAAGUUAGACGGCGNGAGACGUCGCCGACGGACGACGACGACGGGAGGUAGG
rnacentral:rRNA from 1 species